rnacentral:rRNA from 1 species
CCUACGGGCGGCAGCAGUGGUGAAUAUUGGGCAAUGGGCGCAAGCCUGACCCAGCAACGCCGCGUGAAGGAAGAAGGCUUUCGGGUUGUAAACUUCUUUUCUCAGGGCCGCCGCCCGUGCCGGUACCUGAGGAAUAAGCCACGGCUAACUACGUGCCAGCAGCCGCGGUAAUACGUAGGUGGCAAGCGUUAUCCGGAUUUACUGGGUGUCCCGGGCGUGUAGGCGGGAAAGCAAGUCCGCUGUGAACCCCCUGGGCUCAACCUGUGGCCUGCAUUUGACCAUGUUUUUCUUGAGUACUGGAGAGGCAGACGGAAUGCCUAGUGUAGCGGUGAAAUGCGUAGAUAUUAGGAGGAACACCAGUGGCGAAGGCGGUCUGCUGGACAGCAACUGACGCUGAGGCGCGAAAGCGUGGGGAGCAAACAGGAUUAGAUACCCCAGUAGUC